UACGGGGGGGGCAAGCGUUGUUCGGAAUUACUGGGCGUAAAGGGCUCGUAGGCGGCCAACUAAGUCAUACGUGAAAUCCCUCGGCUUAACCGGGGAACUGCGUCUGAUACUGGAUGGCUUGAGUUCGGGAGAGGGAUGCGGAAUUCCAGGUGUAGCGGUGAAAUUCGUAGAUAUUCGGAAGAACACCAGUGGCGAAGGCGACACACUGGCCCGUAACUGACGCUGAGGCGCGAAAGCGUGGGGAGCAAACAGG
rnacentral:rRNA from 1 species